GACGAACGCUGGCGGCGUGCCUAAUACAUGCAAGUCGAGCGAAUCACUAGGAGCUUGCCCCUGGUGGUUAGCGGCGGACGGGUGAGUAACACGUGGGCAACCUGCCUGUAAGACUGGGAUAACACCGGGAAACCGGUGCUAAUACCGGAUAAUCCUUUUCCUCUCAUGAGGAAAAGCUGAAAGUCGGUUUCGGCUGACGCUUACAGAUGGGCCCGCGGCGCAUUAGCUAGUUGGUGGGGUGACGGCUCACCAAGGCGACGAUGCGUAGCCGACCUGAGAGGGUGAUCGGCCACACUGGGACUGAGACACGGCCCAGACUCCUACGGGAGGCAGCAGUAGGGAAUCUUCCGCAAUGGACGAAAGUCUGACGGAGCAACGCCGCGUGAGCGAAGAAGGCCUUCGGGUCGUAAAGCUCUGUUGUUAGGGAAGAACAAGUAACGCAGUAACUGGCGUUACCGUGACGGUACCUAACGAGAAAGCCACGGCUAACUACGUGCCAGCCGCCGCCGUAAUAC
rnacentral:rRNA from 1 species